UUUUGUUGCCCAGAGGAAAUAAUAGGCAACGAAAAUAUAAUUUAUCGCCCGAAAGAUUUUAUUAUGCGACAAAGGUUCUGCAUUUGUUGCCCUUAAUCACGAAAAAACGACAACAACUAGCUGAAGUCGUCGCCCCAAAUACUGAAAAAAUGGCGGAAAUUUUUUACGCCUAAAAUGUGGCCCAAAAAUUCUAAUUUUGAAAAACCAAACAAUAAAAAUUGGAUAUACAGUAUACUUUGCAUCCCCCAUUUCCUCUAGAACCCGCACUUUCUCAACCUUAAUUUAUCAUCUUUAUCUUUUUCCUCCAUCUUCUUCGCUCUCUCCCAACACCAUCUUUAUCCUAGAUAUUGUUGAUGGCAACAAGCAAGGAAUGGACGCCCGACGAAAGAUCUAACACUCGCGGCCACAAGCCACAAGCACUUCGUCCAUCAAUUAUCGGGCUGUAAUUUGGAUAGAAUAUUGUUGUACAGAGGCGAGAGUUAGAUUUUGGAGCAAUGGAACUGCUUUCGAUUUUUUUGUCUCUAGUAAUACUUUUGAGCUCAAUACUAGCCAUAUUCUUCAUCAGGAACUAAAGGUCAUUAUUUUAUUUUGUAACAAAUUGAAGAACGUGAAGUACAUUUUGGAUAAAUUUUUUAUCUUUAUUAUGUAUAGUGGGUAUUUUCUAGUGAUUGAAAAUUUUAACUUUGUAUGUAUCAAUUUCCUUGUAGAACAAUAUAAAUAUUGUAGAUGUAAUUUUGAUUUUCUUGAUUGAAGUUGGAGAAGCAUGUAAUACUUAAUAAUGCGUAUGAUUGUUAUUAUUAUAUUGAAUAUAUUUUUUUAUGUCA